UCCUCCCUCUGUCGGCGUGCUUAACACAUGCAAGUCGAACGGAAAGGCCCUGCUUUUGUGGGGUGCUCGAGUGGCGAACGGGUGAGUAACACGUGAGUAACCUGCCCUUGACUUUGGGAUAACUUCAUGAAACUGGGGCUAAUACCGGAUAGGAGCUCCUGCGGCAUGGUGGGGGUUGGAAAGUUUCGGCGGUUGGGGAUGGACUGGCGGCUUAUCAGCUUGUUGGUUGGGUAGUGGCUUACCAAGGCUUUGACGGGUAGCCGGCCUGAGAGGGUGACAGGCCACAUUGGGACAGAGAUGCGGCCCAGACUCCUACGGGAGGCAGCAGUGCGGAAUAGUGCACACUGGGCGGAAGCCUGAUGCAGCAACGCCGCGUGCUGGAUGACGGCCUUCGGGUUGUAACCCGUUUUCGCCUGUGACGAAGCGUGAGUGACGGUAAUGGGUAAAGAAGCACCGGCUAACUACGUG
rnacentral:rRNA from 1 species